GAUGAAGAACGUAGCGAAAUGCGAUAAGUAAUGUGAAUUGCAGAAUUCAGUGAAUCAUCGAAUCUUUGAACGCACCUUGCGCCCUUUGGCCAUUCCGAAGGGCAUGCCUGUUUGAGUAUCAUGAACACCUCAACUCUUCAUGGUUUUCCAUGAUGAGCUUGGACUUUGGGGGUCUUGCUGGCCUGUGGGUCGGCUCCUCUCAAAUGAAUCAGCUUGCCGGUUUUUGGUGGGCAUCACAGGUGUGAUAACUAUCUACGCUUGUGGUUUUCCACCAGGGUAACCUUCAGCAGUGGAGGUUCACUGGAGCUUACAAAUGUCUCUCCUCUGUGAGGACAGCCCUUUGAAUGUUUGAUCUCAAAUCAGGUAGGACUACCCGCUGAACUUAAGCAUAACAAUAAGCGGAGGA
rnacentral:misc_RNA from 1 species